UACGUAGGGUGCAAGCGUAAUCGGAAUUACUGGGCGUAAAGCGUGCGCAGGCGGUUGUGCAAGACAGAUGUGAAAUCCCCGGGCUAACCUGGGAAUUGCAUUUGUGACUGUACGGCUAGAGUGUGUCAGAGGGGGGUAGAAUUCCACGUGUAGCAGUGAAAUGCGUAGAGAUGUGGAGGAAUACCGAUGGCGAAGGCAGCCCCCUGGGAUAACACUGACGCUCAUGCACGAAAGCGUGGGGAGCAAACAGG
rnacentral:rRNA from 1 species